UUCGUUGGGUAAGAGCCAUAUAUAAGGCAGUUGAAACGCCGUUGACUGGUUCAUUUUUAAGCAAAUUCUUAACGAAAAUGUUGCGGGCCCAAGGUUUUUGUUUUGGUUUUUUAGUUUUAAUUUUCUCUGUGAUGGCAAGACCUAGAGUUAAUAAACAACUUAAGUUUAAUUAUCCUGGAACACCGACAACAGAACAAUCUAUAGAGCAUUUUGUUGAGACAAGUAGCACCGAAAGUGAAGUGUUAACGGAAACAACAAGUGAAGAAACUUUGGAAGAAUCUUCUUCCGAACUUUAUUCAGAAGAUACAACUGAGGAAUACAGCACAGAGUCAUCUACUGGGGAAUACUACACUGACUCCAGUACAGAUUUUUCGAAAUCAACUGACAGCACCGACUCCAGUACAAGUUUUUCGGAAUCAACUGAGAUAACUACAGAUUCGAGUGAUGAAUCCGAUGAAAGCCAAAGUGAUGAAGAUUCAUCGGAUUACAGUGAUAUUUCCAAAGACAGUAGUGGAAUCAUUUGGCCAGACUCUAGUCAGGAAUCUUUCGAAAGCUGGGAGCCAGAAGACUCAGAUGGGGAUUUUUCCGGAGGAGAUUUUAGCGCUGGAAAGUCUGGGGAAAUAUUUGAUUAUAGCUGAAAAAUUUAAACAAAUAACAUCACAUACCUUAAUUUUUCUGUCAAUUUAUAAACCGAGUCUGUAACACUCAAAUUCAAAUUAAAACUAGUAGAAAUGGAAACUUUUCUCUUCACGUUGUUCUUCCUGUCGUUGAAGUCUUUGGUCUCGGGAAUACCCAUACCGAUGUAUGAUCUUUAUUAUUCAACGGACACCCAGGUGGACUUUGUUGAUUAUGAUCCCUAUAUUAUUACAUAAAAUAGUAAUACUUCUGCCGCUCAGUAAUGCUGCUGCUCUAACUUUGGAAGAACUUGGCUACUG